ensembl:lncRNA
UGGAGACAGAAGAGAAAGCAGUCCUACUAGAUUUGUGUCUACAAGCAGCACUAGAUCACAGAGAAACAUUCCAGAGAACUGUGAACACACUGCUGUCACUGUUCUCUGUGUAUCAAACUGAGAGAUAUGACAUCCUGCUGGAUCUGUACUCUCAUGUGAAGUACAAUAGGAAUCAAACAGCCAGGAGUGUCCUUCCAUCAUUGCAGCCACUUUACCAGUCAGCUCCUGCAGUCUGGUCCAUAGACCUCUCAGAGAGAAAGACCUCCCUCCUCCUAGAAGUGCUGAAACUCCAACCAGGGAAGAAACCAGUAGAGCUGAAGGGCUGGUCAGAUGAAGAGAGUGAAGUGAGGAGUUUCCUUCAGUGUCUGUCCUACAUCUCACAGCUGAGAUUUUCUCCACUGAAGGAUAACAUAAAUAGGAGAAAGAGAGACAAGACAUUCCUACUGAAUCUGUGUCUUCAAGCAGCUCUCCAUGAGAGAGGAACCAUACAAACAACUGUAGAGAAAGUGUUGUCGCUGUCUAAAGUAUAUCACAAUCAGAAAUGUGAUUUCCUGCUGGAUCUGAUCUCACAUGCGAAGGACUAUGAGACUCAAACAGGCAGGAUGGUCCUUCCAGCAUUACAGCCACUUUACCAGUCAGCUCCUGCAGUCUGGUCCAUAGACCUCUCAGAGAGAAAGGCCUCCCUCCUCCUAGAAGUGCUGAAACUCCAACCAGAGCAGAAACCAGUAGAGCUGAAGGGCUGGUCAGAUGAAGAGAGUGAAGUGAGGAGUUUCCUUCAGUGUCUGUCCUACAUCUCACAGCUGAGUUUUAUUCCUCCACAGGAUCAGAGAAGAUCCCCUGAAGAGAGGACAAGGAGAGAGAAGACAUUCCUACUGAAUCUGUGUCUUCAAGCAGUUCUCCAUGAGAGAGGAACCAUACAAACAACUGUAGAGAAAGUGGUGUCACUGUCUGAAGUAUAUCACAACCAGAAAUGUGAUUUCCUGCUGGAUCUGAUCUCACAUGUGAAGGACUAUGAGACUCAAACAGGCAGGAGUGUCCUUCCAGCAUUACAGCCAGUUUACCAGUCAGCUCCUGCAGUCUGGUCCAUAGACCUCUCAGAGAGAAAGGCCUCCCUCCUCCUAGAAGUGCUGAAACUCCAACCAGAGAAGAAACCAGUAGAGCUGAAGGGCUGGUCAGAUGAAGAGAGUGAAGUGAGGAGUUUCCUUCAGUGUCUGUCCCACAUCUCACAGCUGAGUUUCUAUACAGACUGGUCUGAUUCCUCAAAGCUGAUCAAGUUCCUGGUGGAUCUCCUGUCUCAAGCAGCAGAGUGGGAGGAGCAGACAGGAGAGAAGACACUGAAGCUGGUAUCAUCAGUGUGGACUUACAGCACCUUUCCUUAUCGCCAUGGAGACAAUUAUAAACAGAGUGAUUUCCUGUUGGAUCUGUACUCACAUGUGAAGGACUAUGAGACUCAAACAGGCAGGAGUGUCCUUCCAGCAUUACAGCCAGUUUACCAGUCAGCUCCUGCAGUCUGGUCCAUAGACCUCUCAGAGAGAAAGGCCUCCCUCCUCCUAGAAGUGCUGAAACUCCAACCAGAGAAGAAACCAGUAGAGCUGAAGGGCUGGUCAGAUGAAGAGAGUGAAGUGAGGAGUUUCCUUCAGUGUCUGUCCUACAUCUCACAGCUGAGUUUCUGUCCACGGAGGUCUGAUCCCUCAAAGCAGAUCAAGUUCCUGGUGGAUCUCCUGUCUCAAGCAGCAGAGUGGGAGGAGCAGACAGGAGAGAAGACACUGAAGCUGGUAUCAUCAGUGUGGACUUACAGCACCUUUCCUUUUCUCAGUGGAGACAAUUAUAAACAGAGUGAUUUCCUGCUGGAUCUGUACUCACAUGUGAAGGACUAUGAGACUCAAACAGGCAGGAGUGUCCUUCCAGCAUUACAGCCAGUUUACCAGUCAGCUCCUGCAGUCUGGUCCAUAGACCUCUCAGAGAGAAAGGCCUCCCUCCUCCUAGAAGUGCUGAAACUCCAACCAGAGAAGAAACCAUUAGAGCUGAAGGGCUGGUCAGAUGAAGAGAGUGAAGUGAGGAGUUUCCUUCAGUGUCUGUCCUACAUCUCACAGCUGAGUUUUACUCCUUCACAGGAUCAGAGAAGAUCCCCUGAAGAGAGGAUAAGGAGAGAGAAGACAUUCCUACUGAAUCUGUGUCUUCAAGCAGUCCUCCAUGAGAGAGGAACCAUACAAACAACUGUAGAGAAAGUGGUGUCACUGUCUGAAGUAUAUCACAAUCAGAAAUGUGAUUUCCUGCUGGAUCUGUACUCACAUGUGAAGGACUAUGAGACUCAAACAGGCAGGAGUUUCCUUCCAGCAUUACAGCCAGUUUACCAGUCAGCUCCUGCAGUCUGGUCCAUAGACCUCUCAGAGAGAAAGGCCUCCCUUCUCCUAGAAGUGCUGAAACUCCAACCAGAGAAGAAACCAGUAGAGCUGAAGGGCUGGUCAGAUGAAGAGAGUGAAAUGAGGAGUUUCCUUCAGUGUCUGUCCUACAUCUCACAGCUGAGUUUCUAUCCAUGGAGGUCUGAUUCCUCAAAGCAGAUCAAGUUCCUGGUGGAUCUCCUGUCUCAAGCAGCAGAGUGGGAGGAGCAGACAGGAGAGAAGACACUGAAGCUGGUAUCAUCAGUGUGGACUUACAGCACCUUUCCCUUCUGUGAUGAUGAUGAUGAUGAUGAUGAUGAUGAUGGUGACGAUAAUAAGGAAUAUCAAUGUGAUUUCCUGCUGGAUCUGUACUCACAUGUGAAGGACUCUGAGACUCAAACAGGCAGGAGUUUCCUACCAGCAUUACAGCCAGUUUACCAGUCAGCUCCUGCAGUCUGGUCCAUAGACCUCUCAGAGAGAAAGGCCUCCCUCCUCCUAGAAGUGCUGAAACUCCAACCAGACAAAAAACCAGUAGAGCUGAAGGACUGGUCAGAUGAAGAGAGUGAAGUGAGGAGUUUCCUUCAGUGUCUGCCCUACAUCUCACAGCUGAGGUGAGUCUGAACAUGUGGUGGUUAGUGAUCAUGUGAUGCUAGUGGCUAUUAUCUUGUAGAAACAUUUGACAUAUUAAACUUCAAGUGUUGGUAAACCUUGUAGCAGUAUUGUUAGAGAGGGGUAAAGGUAGAGAUUUGUUGGGACGUCAG